UCUCACUCUGUCACCCAGGCAGGAGUGCACUGGCCUUAUCACAGCUCACUGCACCCUCAACUCCUGGGCUGCGGCCAUCCUCCCACCUCAGCCUCUGGUCCCUCUAGUCAUUUUAGCACUCUUGUGUUGUUUGAUUUCCCCAUGGAUAUGUUGUGUGUCCCCAGUUGGAUUUCAGAGUCCCGAAGUGAGGAAUGUCUUUCAGUCCCAUGACCUCAUAAUGCCUGGCAGUGGCUGGCUCUGGUGGGUAUUGCUGGUCUGAUGCUGACAAGCUGGCUUUCCUUCUUUUUUUUUUUGAGAUGGAGUUUCGCUCUUGUUACCCAGGCUGGAGUGUAAUGGCACGAUCUCGGCUCACCACAACCUCCGCCUCCUGGGUUCAGGCAAUUCUCCUGCCUCAGCCUCCUGGGUAGCUGGGAUUACAGGCACACGCCACCAUGCCCAGCUAAUUUUUGUAUUUUUAGUAGAGAUGGGGUUUCACCAUGUUGACCAGGAUGGUCUAGAUCUCUUGACCUCAUGAUCCACCCGCCUCAGUCUCCCAAAGUGCUGGGAUUACAGGCGUGAGCCACCGCGCCCGGCCUCCUUCUUAUGUUUACUCGGAACUAAUUCUGACAGCCCACCCCUUGCAGUCUUAUUGGUGGGUUUCAAAGUAUCCUUCACAAAGUAAGGUACUCGCACUUGGGCAGAGAAAACUGUAUUUUUAAGACUUCUGUUUUGGGCGAAGUCACUACACCACAGUCCUGAGUCUUUCUAAGACGCCCUGAUCUUACCAUGUUGUAUGCGUGUUUUGGCAUGGUUACAUAGCAGCCUUAGAAUCUGAACCUCAAAAUCACACUUUUCUGAUUUUCUCUCUUACUUUUCUGGCUCUUCCUUCUAAGGGCCUCUCCCCCCCUUGAAUGAUGGUGUUACUUGAGGAUUUUAGGGCCCUUUUGCUUCUUGUUCCCGAGCCGCUACUUGAAUUUUCUUUUCUUUUUUUUUUUUUUUUCUUUUUGUGGAGAACCGGGUCUCGUUGUAUCGCCCAGGCAGGUCUGAAACUCCUGGCCUUAAGCUAUCCUCCUGCCUCUGCCUCCCUAAGACCUGGGAUUACAGGCGUAAGCCACCGUGCCUGGCACUAGAAGUUUCAUGUAAAGGAAUCUGGCAUCUAAACCUCCGGCCCACGCUUCCCCUCUGAGAUCAUAUUGGACAGCUCUAUUCCUUCACAGCCAAUAUUUCCAGCGAAACUUGCAUCUUUCCCAUCAUAACUUGGUUUUCCUUUUUGCGUCCCCAAUCUCGCCAGAGGAUCUGAUUAGCCACUCACUUGCUAAAGCCACGAACUCAGGAGUGCUCCCUGGUCCCCCAUUGCUCCCUUGUAUCCCACGUGGGAUCCAUCACCAGAUUGUCUUUGUUUAUUUCCAGAAAGUCUCCUGAAUCAGCCCACUUACCUCCAGCUCCACCGCCAACACCAUCCUCAUGCUAGUUCAGCUCACCCUUAGGUCUCCCCUGAUUAUUUCAGUGGCCUCCUCUUUGAUUUCAUGCCUCAUUCUUACCACGCUGACGCUGGAGAUACCUUUCUAAAAUCCAAGUCUAACUGUGUUACUCCCCAGCUUGGAUCUUUUUGGUGGCCAAAGUUAAGUAAAUUAGACCCAGGUCUUUACUAAGGCUUAUAAGACCCCUGGCCCCAGUCCCGCUAUGCUGGCUCCACACUAUCCCCCAAGGCUGGCAUCCCCGUGUCCCAACCAGGCCUCUGCUCAGGCUCUUCACUGCCUCCAUCACUUCAAAGACCCUGGACAGAACUGGAACAGCCUUUCCUGCCCCCACUGGCCCUAGUGGUGCCUGUUCAGGCUUUAGGGUUCAUGGACCUGGGCUGUAAGAUAUUUGUCCAAGCUUGAAGACCCUAGAGAAGAGGCGCUUGUAUGCAUCCCCUUGGCCCUUCGAGCUCACUGUUGGGGAUUACUUGUCAUGCCUCAAUCUUCGGAGUACAGACUUUUAGGUGAAGAUGUAUGCAGGGGGCACGUCCAGAGCAAUUGUUCUCAUCAGAGCCUGGCGCGGGGGCGUGAAUCAGUCACUGGAGAAACGUUUCCAAAGUAUUCAUGGUUGGCCUCCAAGGAGUCCCUCGUCCUCUCAAGAUUCUGAUUCAGGAAGUCCACAGCGGGGCCCAGGCAUGCAUAUUUUGACAAUGUUCCCUAAGACUGAGUCUGUUUUCCCUGCCCUGUCCCUUUUUCAGAAAAGAAGUAGCUUAAAGCUUGGUCAGCUUUUCACUUUUUUCCCGCCGUCUCAGAUGUAAUUCUAAAAAGUGAGACACAAAGUCGUGUCGCGGACGGGCAGGGAGGGCUGAGAUCGAAGAUCCUCCCAUAGAGAUAUUCUGCACAGCCACUGACAUUCUCCAAAGACCUGCAAUCUUAAAAACAAAAAACGUUUCCACAAUUACAAGUCACCUAUUUAAACCGACAACUUCACUCUUAGGUAACUGUGGUGACCAUCUAGAGGUGUUAAGGUUUGUACUCCAGAUGGAUAACAUGCUGGCCCCGCCACUCCCCUCUACCAGCACAGACCCCGGGAAUGGUUGCUUCUGGCUUCAAUGUCAUGUUCAUUCUUCGACAUGUACCUUCUCUAGGAAGGUACCAUGGCCAAAGCUACCCCCUCACAAACAUGGGAAGUGGGUGAAUUUAUCUGCAACCACUUUUCUAUUCUCUGUCCAUCAAUUCUGUCUCUUGUACAGGAGAAAAACCAGUAACUGUCUCAAAACAUUCCCUUUUUUUUUUCUUUUUUUAAAAAAUUUAUUAUUGCAUUUUAUGUUUAGGGGUACAUGUGCAGAACAUGCAAGACAGUUGCAUAGGUACACACAUGGCAGUGUGUUUUGCUUCCUUUCUCCCCUUCACCCACAUUUGGCAUUUCUCCCCAGGCUAUCCCUCCCCAGCUCCCCCUCCCGCUGGCCCUCCCGUAUUCCCCCCAAUAGACCCCAGUGUUUAGUACUCCCCUCCCUGUGUCCAUGUGUUCUCAUUGUUCAUCACCCGCCUAUGAGUGAGAAUAUGCGGUGUUUCAUUUUCUGUUCUUGUGUCAGUUUGCUGAGAAUGAUGUUCUCCAGAUUCAUCCAUGUCCCUACAAACGACACAAACUCAUCAUCUCUGAUUGCUGCAUAAUAUUCCAUGGUGUAUAUGUGACACAUUUUCCCAAUCCAGUCUAUCAUCAAUGGGCAUUUGGGUUGAUUCCAGGUCUUUGCUAUUGUAAACAGUGCUGCAAUGAACAUUCGUGUGCAUGUGUCCUUAUAGUAGAACAAUGUAUAGUCCUUUGGAUAUAUACCCAGUAAUGGGAUUGCUGGGUCAAAUGGAAUUUCUAUUUCUAAGGCCUUGAGGAAUUGCCACACUGUCUUCCACAAUGGUUGAACUAAUUUACACUCCCACCAACAGUGUAAAAGUGUUCCUUUUUCUCCACGUCCUCUCCAGCAUCUGUUGUCUCCAGAUUUUUUAAUGAUCGCCAUUCUAACAAUUUUUGCAGUUUACCCAUCUGACAAAGGGCUGAUAUCCAGAAUUUACAAAGAACUCAAACAGAUUUACAGGAAAAAAACAAACAAGCCCAUUCAAAAGUGGGCAAAGGAUAUGAACAGACACUUUACGAAAGAAGACAUAUAUGAGGCCAACAAUCAUAUGAAAAAAUGCUCAUUGUCACUGGUCAUCAGAGAGAUGCAAAUCAAAACCACAUUGAGAAACCAUCUCACGCCAGUUAGAAUGGCGAUCAUUAAAACAUUCUCUUUUCUAAAGGGAUAUGUCUUAUGAAAGAACCUUCGGUAGGAGGAUGCUGGUGAACGUGGCCUUCCAUGUAGUUUCACAGCAGUCUGUUUGUGUGUCUUUCUGCCCUGUUAGUGUGGGGCUUUCUGAGCAGAGAGGCUGCGCCUUGGUCAUCUUUGUAUUUUCUGUUUGUUGAAUACCUGAUUGAAUGAAUGAAUGCAUGCAUUCACAUAUGGAUGAGAGCAGUAGAGGGAAUUAUACGCAUCUUGGCCGUCAGUAAAGUCACACAGAUCCACAUUAUCACCGAUAUAGUACUGGCAUAUUUUUAGGGGGUGUUCUUAUCAGUAGUUUUUAAACAAAGUAAUUGAUAUUUGAAAAGUAUUUGUGAUGGAACAUAUUUAUAGAUUUGAAAAAUAACUUGAGUGAAACUUUAAAUUUUCAUAAUAUUAGACUUAUAAUACAAUCGGCCCUCUGUGUCCGCAGCUUCACAUUUGUGGAUUCAACCAGGUGUGGACUGAAAAUAUUGAGAAUACAGGACCCAUAGCUAUACGAAUAUCAGUAUUAAUAACAAAUAACAAUGCAACAAUAAAAAAUAAUGCAAAUAAAAAUCCAACCCAGUGUAACAACUCUUUAUAUAGUAUUUAUAUUGUAUUAUGUAUUAUGAGUAAUCUGUUCAACAGAGGUGACUUGAAGUAGACGGGAGGAUGUGUGUCGGUGAUAUGCGAAGACGGUGCCAAUUUAUAUCAGGGACUUGAGCACUGGAUUUUGGUAUUUUCAGGGAGUCCUGGAAAGAGUCCCCCUGAGAUACUGAGGGUCAGCUGUACAAAUUUAUCCUGAAAUGUCUCUAGUCUUCAACUGCAGGCCUCUUGUGCCACCUUAUCACUGAAUUCCGCAUGGCCUGAAAGAUUCCAAUAUACUCACACAUGCAAACAAUACGGGGCAGUGUUAUACAGAUGAUGUGAAGGAUUGGGGAGUUAUUCAUAGGUGGAGAACAGAUAAACAUUUGGAACAGCUGGUCUUAUAAAGCCUCGCUGAUAUUAACAUUUUUUUUGUUAUAAACUAAUAUAUGUUUAUUAUAGGAAAACUGAGAAUUACAGAAUAGCAGAAAAGAAGCAAACAAGAAUUAACUAUCAUGAUAUCAACCAAAGAUGAUCAUUUUCUAUACACUGUGUUUCCUUUGAACAAAAGGAAUAUAUUAUUUAUUUAAAAUCAUUGAGACCAUGCAGUCAAAACUGUUCUGUGACCUGCCUUUUUCCCAUAGUUAUCCUUAACAUUCCUCAUGGAUGGCUUUAAAUAUUCUUCCACAUUGCUCCAAAUGGCUGCAUAGUGAUGCUUUCCUUAAAUCGUUUUCCUUCUGUUUCUCAUUGUUGGAUAUUUUCAAACAUUUUCUGACGUAAAUUUUUAGGCCGUCACAAAUAUCCCUGAAGAAACCUGAACGUGUCCUGGAAUUAGAAUGGCUACGUCUGUCGCUCUCCCCAUGUUUAAGGUCUUUAAAAUACAUCGUCACGUUACCCUCGAUCGUUUGCUGUUUCCAGUUACACCCUGGUGAGAAGUUAUUCUAAAACUAUGUUCCAACACACGUAACGGUCACUUUUAUUUUGGAACUUUUACAGCUGUAUCCAUUCCUGUAGGACUUGGAUUUUGGGAUUACAUUCUGAUGUAUCAUCUGCAAAAUCAUUCUGCAUGGUUCUUUACCAGAUGAGAGUCCUCAGAUUCAUGAGAGCACAUGGCCCCUACUCGUGGUAAGAAGCCACUGAGAGGCCAGGCCAGGCUACGGGCGCGAAUGGAACGGAAGCGGAAGUGUAUGGCACGGAAACGAAAGCGUAUGGAACGGAAGCGGAAGCAUAUGGAACGGAAGCAGAAGCGUGUGUGCAGCAGGGCGUGGGUAGUAAGACUCUCUUUCGGGCUGUUUCAGGCUGUCUCAGGACCUCACCAAACCCCGCGGGGCCUGGAGGAGCCCUGCAAUCCGCUCUUGGGAGCCCUCGGAGCUGGCUGUGCCCCUGUAGCAUCAGAUUCCAUUAAGACCCAGAACUUCAUGGAAGCGAGGAAGAGAGAAGCUGUGCUCUUCCUGUAGCGAUGGAGUGUAGCAAAUGCUUUUUUGGGCCAGGCGCGGUGGCUCAUGCCUGUAAUCCCAGCACUUCGGGAAGCCGAGACGGGCAGAACACGAGGUCAGAAAAUCAAGACCAUCCGGAGGCUUGAGGCAGGAGAAUUGCUUGAACCUGGGAGGCCGGGGAUGCAGUGAGCCGAGAUUGCGCUGUUGCACUCUAGCCUGGCGACAGAGUGAGACUCUGUCUCAAAAAAGAAAGAAAGAAAGAAAAAAGAAAAAGAAAAUGCUUUUUUGUAACUGCAAUGCUGUCAAAUUCUCUCCACCCUCGGUCCACCUGGGACAUGCUGGAGCUGAUCUUUCUCAAAUUAUUUCCCAAAUAAAAGGGUCUCACUCUGUUGCCCAGGCUGGAGCAUAGUGAUGUGAUCUUGACUGACUGCAGCCUCCACCUCCCGGGCUCAAGAGAUUCUCCUGCCUCAGCCUUCUGAAGUGACUACAGCUCCACUUCCCUUAGUAUAUGGCUGAAGAGGGAGGCUAUGGAAAUGUGAGAAAGAAAACCCUGCCCUCUGGGUUUCACGUCACGCAGCCAGACACUUCUCCAAUGCGGCUACUCUCUGCAGAACGUUUUCUGCCUCCAACUUCUCCGACCCAUCCCUGCUCCUAGGAGCGCUGUUCAGACUCGGGUGAUCUUCUGACCAGACCAUCCUAACCUUUUCUUCUUUAUUUACUCAUUCAGUCAUUCAUUCAUUUAUUCAACAGAUAGUCAUCAACUAUCUUGUGGCAGACUUUGUUGGGUGUUGAAGGAGACCCCCCCUCCAAAUGAAAAGAUACUAUCCCAGCUUCUGUUUUGUUUACAGACCAGUUAGAGAAAACUUGAGAGCAAAUCAUUACCAUAUAGUGUGAGUUGUUUCAUAAUAAGCAAGAUGAUGACAAGAACCUGAAUGAGCAUGAGCAUGACAGAGCCUCUGAGAGCCGAAGGAUAAGUGUGUGCUUCACAGAGUGGCCAGGGCAUCCGGACAUGAGGCCAGCGCAAGACAGUGAGGAUGGCACAGCCAUAGGCUCCUCUGUGAAGCUUGUCAGGGAGCAUGGAGAGACGUAGGGGAAGCCAAGCCCCAGAAAGAAGUCGGAGACAGAAUUUGGAAUUUGAAUCUAUAGGGAUGAGAGAAACAAGGGUGGCCUUGAAGCAGGUCCACAGCCUGCUGUUGCUGAGAGACAAUUCUACAGGCUAGGCAAAGAGCUGACUGCAGCAGCACAUCUGAUAGAGCAAGGUCCUGAAGGAGGCAGCAGGGCGGAGGCUGGCAGGAGCACGGGUCGUUGAGCUUCUUGCCACCAGCUCCUCUGUGUGAAAGCAGAAGACAGCACGGUACCCGGUGUGAAGGAGGAGUUCCACAGAUUUUUUUGAUGAGGCUGGACGCAGUGGGCUCAUGCCGGUAAUCCUAGCACUUUGGGAAGCUAAGGUGGGAGGAUCCUCUGAGGCCAGGAGUUCAAGAUCAUCCUGGGAAACAUAGCGAGACCCCAUAUUUACAAGAAAUUUAAAAAUUAGUUGGGCAUGGUGGUGCACCUAUAGUUCCAGCUACUCAGGAGGUUGCAGUGGGAGGAUGGCUUGAACCCAGGAGCUGGAGGCUGUGGGUGACCUGUGAUCACACCCCUGCACUCCAACCUCUGGGCAAGCGGUAGUUUGUGGCAGUUUGUUAUGGCAGCCACGGCUUGCCAGCAACCACUAGAAGCUAGGAGGGGACAAGGCAACAGAGGGAGACCCUGACUCACAAAAAUCUUUGAUGAGCUGGAUUGACUCCUAAACAGUUGGAAGGGUGUGUUAGUUUCCUGUGGCUGAGAUAGAAAACUACCACAGCUGGGUAGCUUUAAGCCACAGAAAUCAAGGUGCCACAGGGUCAUGAGUCUUCUGAAGGCUCGACUGGAGACUCCCUCCUUGUCCCUUCCUAGCGUCUGGAGGUUGCUGGCAGCUGCACCGUCCCAGUCUCUGGUCUGUCACUUCCCUGCCUCCUUUGCUGGGUCUCUUAGUCACAUUUCCCUCUCCUUAUAAGGACACCAGUCAUUGAAUGAGGUCCCACCCGAAUCCACUGUGACCUCAUCUUAAUUGGAUUACGUCUACACAAACCCUAUUUCCAAAGAAACUCACAUUCACAAGUACCUUAGCAGGGGUAAGGAUGUGAGCAUAUCUUUUCGUGGGGACAGAGCUUAGCCAACAAAGGGGGCUGUGUGUGCUCUUCCUCUGGGUCUAGAAAUCUGAAACUUCUCUGGAGGGACUCCUUCUACGUGGGGAAGGUUGUUUCAGAGGCAGCUCCAGAACUUCAAAUAAUUAUUACACAGUCAGCAUGCCCUGUUCAUGCCUUCCUCCAGUGUCUGAGGGCCUACUGUGUGCUGAUGCUGCUUCAGGAUCUGGAUGUGGAGAGAUGAGCAAGCCGGACCGCUCUGAUCAAAUACAAUUGUUUGUGUUUUCAGCUUGCGAAGAACAUAAUGGACUCUUCUGGUAAUUACAUGAUGAAAAUAUAGCUUUAAAAGAAAGGAAAAUUUAUCAUUUUUAUUUUUGUUAAGAUAUAAACUAAGAAGCAUGCUUGGAGAAAUGUCAUCUCAUAGGAUCACGACUGAUGGGCAAGGGCUUACAGCAAAACUGUGGAGCCCAGCUUGGAGUGCCCUGAAUCCGAACACAGCAGGGCGACAAAAACAGCAGCAAGGACGGGAGGUCUGAGGUGGGGGAGGUGACGGGGAGCUGUGGGAUGCUUCCUUCCGAGCCAUGGCUUGCAGUGGCGCUGGGGGCUCUGACAGUGGGUCAGGCCAGAAGGGGUCGUUCAGAGCUGUCCUGGUGGCUGCUGGAACCACCAGAGUGAUGGAGCUUAUCCUGGUCCACUGAGAGCCCUGGGUGUAUGGGAAAGAAGCACGCUGGAGCGUGCAUUCAGGGAACCGCCCCAGGACAGCUGUGUGUUGGCGCCUUCUUCCUUCCGUGGCUUUCCCGGUGGCCUCGGGUUGUCAUCGCACCUUUCUUCCCCUCUGGCUCUGGCCUGAGCCUCCGUGUGCCUCACUGCCGGCCUCCUACCUCCUGCCUCCGACUUCAGUCCUCAGAUUCUCAACAACUCGUCCCCCCUUUGUCCAUGUUGAGAAUGUGUGACAAAUGGCCUCUGUUUGGCAGAGCUGGGACGGCCAACAGCUAUGACUGGACCUCGGGACAGCUCCUCUGGCCAGGCGAUGGCUGAAGGGUCCCAGACGAUGAUAGCAAGAGAAGAAGCUGUGUCCCGGCUUGGGUAGUCACCAGCCGUGAAGGCUAAAGGCUAAGAUGCAACAUGAAAUAAUGGACAUAAAUGUGGUUGUUUUGCGCAACCCCUUAGAUAAGUGGGAGCCACUCUACCUCUCCCUGUAGGUUUUUACUUGGUGAUACACAGUGUAUAUAUGAGAAUGGAGGAAGGAUCUUGAAGAUCAUGGUUCCCACACAAAUUACAAGCACCGUUGCUAAUAUACGGUUACAGGAAAAGGUCUUACCCCAUCUCUCAACCACCACCCGCCCUGGUAUGAGGAUUAUGAGCCAUCGUAACCUGCAGGUAGGGUUCAGUAUUCACCAAAACGAGCGGCUGUCGUCCCGGCUGCUGCCUAGUGUACCAUAGGCUGGUCUUUCCUACUGAGGCUAUGAACAGGCUUUCCACCUCUAAUCAUUCCUGGGCAGGGUUCCAUUAAUACAGAUCAGGCAACUAUGAAACAAAAAGACUAGGUAUUUUCCUUAAGCAAUCAGAAGUAGCUUCACAUUAUUUUAUGCCAGUGUGUGAGAUUUACGAACAUUGGUAUACUGUAUUUUAGAUCCUUAAUUCUAAGACAUGAAAAUGAACUAACGAAAUCUACGUCCGGUGCAUUUAAGUUCAGGAUUCAGGGCAAAGUACUACAAGCGGCCAACCUAAACUUUUCACUGAAGGGCCGCAGAGGAAUGCAGGUGUAUGUGAUGCGUCCGAAAGCCCUCAGUAAGACGCUUUACUCUACUAACCUUGAAUUACUUUGGUCUGAGAAGCAGAGGUGCUCAGCCAAUGCAGAAACACAGCACCGAAUUAGCUGAUCAGCUAGCCCAUAUGCCAACGUAAACUUUUCACCGAAGGGCCACGGAGGAAUGCAGAUGUAUGUGAUGUGUCCGACAGCCCUCAGUAAGACGCUUUACUCCACUAACCUUGAAUUACUUUGGUGUGAGAAGCAGAGGUGCUCAGCCAAUGCAGAAACACAGCAUCGAAUUUGAUCAGCUAGCCCAUAUGCCCACGCAAAGCCCUUGUCCUUGCAAAGCCUGGAAUAUGUCACCAUGACGGCACUUUGGCCACAUGGUAGUUCUCCAGGGCGAGCCUAUAGUUCGUCCAUAAACUGUGAUCAGCUUCCACACCCACCAGCUUCCCGUCGCUGUCCAGUCUGCUUUCGAUUCUGCCUUCGCUGGAUCCUUCAUCGGCAGGUCUCACAGAACAGAGCUGCUUCUGGGCCUUACACCCUCUAGUGCUCUCAGCCAGGACCAUGCAUGGAGGUUCGUACUCCCAGAGCCAAAGAGGCUCCACGUGAAGCAGGCAGUGGGUGGGGAAUCUGGUGCUCGUGCCCCUUUAUUUUCAGGGACAUUCGCUGCCGUCGCGCCUCUGGCCUUUCUCCAUUCUUCACACCCUUGUCUCCCCAGAAGAGGAGAAGUGAUUUACCUUACUGAGGAGAAGGAGCCCUAUCCUGCUUCUCUCUGAAGGGCCAGCUGUGCUCACACAGCUGAUGGUGCUCCCUGCUCGUCUGUUCUUGGAGUCUUACAGUGCAGGGCCUUGGUGGGCAAGCCUGUGCAAUUCACAGGGGCGGUAUUAUAAACCACAUUCCCCAGAAUCUGUCAGCUUUGCUGUAAGUAACUCUCCAUCUGCCAUACCCUGUGUCUACCUUGUGAGUUUUGAAAUUAGGGUACAGGGAUGUCAAUUAUUAGGGUCCCUGAGACCCUGACAUUCUAAAAAGAGAGAAAACAAGCUAGUGUUCUGCUCCCAAAGAAGCUACGAGACAGAGAAGGAAAAUGGAUUUGCAUAUGUAGCUUGCAAAAAAACUUCAUGCAAAAUAAAAUGUGCAUGAAUGUAAGGAAAUAGAAAUAAAGAUAUUUGUGAACCAUAACAUUGCCCAGUGCAAAAGGGAAAUGAAAGUGAAGUAAUUGAAGGGAAAUGGAUUAAAUAAGAAGGUCAGAGUUUAGAUUAAAAUGCGGAAGCAGGGAUUUUAAAAAGUGGAAGUGGGCUGAGUGUGGUGGCUCAUGCCUGUAAUCCCAGCAUUUUGGGAGGCCGAGGCAGGUGGAUCACCUGAGGUCAGGAGUUCAAGACCAGCCUGGCCAACAUGGUGAAACCGCAUCUCUACUGAAAUUACAAAAAUUAGCCGGGUGGGGGUCGCAUACCUGUAAUCCCAGCUACCUGGGAGGCUGAGGCAGAAGAAUCGCUUGAACCUGGGAAGCAGAAACUAUAGUGAGCCGAGAUGGUGCCACUGCACUCCAGCCUGGGUGACAGAGCAAGACUCCAUCUUAAAAAAAAAAAAAAAAUUGAAAGUGGAGUGGGAUGGAGGGGUGGGCAAUAGGCUGGGGGUGAGGAAUGCAGUAAAAUGAAUAGUCAGUCACUCAUUCAACAGGCUGACGGGUCUGUGCACGCCAGGCUGGUUAACCUUGCUAAAAGUGUUAAAUCAAGACCGUGGACAGUCACUAAAGGGUUUAGAACCAAGGAAUGGGCUGGCGUGACUUGCAUGUUAGAAAAUCCCUUGGCUGGAAGAGAGGAGAACGAGCCAGAACCUUCGGAUCUCCAGGAAGCCUGAUGGGAGGUCACUGCGUAAUGAUGAUAAGUGGAACUUCUAGUUGGGGUUCUGGGGAGAUAGGGGCUUGUGGGGCUGUUACUGGCUUCUAGGGUGAAGCUAUAAGGCUCUGGGAGAGCCUGGGUGAACUUGGGUGGUGAAGCUGGAUAGAGAUGGACUCAGGCUGGCCCAAGGAUGGUGGUGGAAAUGGGGCCUCAACACAGGCUCAGCUAAAAGAUGGUGCAGAAUCGUAAGGUAGGGUCCUCCCCAGUGCUUCCAGGGGAUGGGAGCUGUUUUCAAGAACAUUAGGGUUCACCUUCUGUAGAAGAUAUUUCUCCUUGAAUUUACGGGAUACUCAUUUUAGUGUUACAUACCCAGUAUUGUGUAACCAGAAGUACAAAAAUCAAAUUUCUGAAGUAAUUUGGAUUUUUUUUAAACAAAGUAAGUGUUUUGGUCAACAGAAUAAUUUAAACAUUUCUCUGAAAAGGAGACAUGCUUUGCAACAAGUAUUGUGGGAACAACUGGAUAUCCUCAUGAAGAAGAAUGAAGUCAUGUCCUUCCCUCACGUCUGCUACAAAAUUAACUCAAAGUAGAUCACAGACCAAAACGUAAGAGUUCAAACGUUAACACUCUUCGAAGAAAUUAAAGGAGUCAGUCUUCAUAAUCUGGGCUUGGGUAAAGCCUUCUUAGAUGUUACACAAAAAGCACAGCUGACGAAAGAGAAAGCCAGCGUUGGACGUCAUCAAAAGUUUAGACAUUUUGUGCUUCAAAGGAUGCCAUCACAAAAGUGAAAAGAAAGCUCACAGAGUGGGAAAAUAUCUGCAAACCAUGUGUCUGAUGAGGGACUGGUAUCCAGAAUGUACAAAGAAUGCUUAAAACUCAAACGACAAAUAAUCCAGUUAAAACAUGGGAAAGUUCAAAGAGCUAAAAGCAGAGCUACCAUUGGACUCAGCAAUCCCGUGACUGGGUCACCGCUGGACUCGGCAGCCCCAUGACUGGGUCACCGCUGGACUCGGCAGCCCCAUGACUGGGUCACCGCUGGACUCGGCAGCCCCAUGACUGGGUGUAUAACCAGAGUGAAAUGAAUUAUUCUACCACAAAGACACAUACAUGUGAAUGUUCAUUGCAGCACUGUUCACAAUAGCACAGACAUGGAAUCAAUCUAAAUGCCCAUCAGUGAGAGACUGAAUAAGGAAAUGUGGUACAUACAUCAUGGAAUGCUAUGCAGCCACUGAAAAGAAUGAGAUCAUGCCUUUUGCAUGACGUGGAGCAUGGAAGGAGCUGGAGGCUAUUACCCUUAGCAAACCAAGGCAGGAACAGAAAACCAAACACUGCGCGUUCUCACUUACAAGUGGGAGCUCAGUGACGAGAGCACAUGGAUAUGAAGAGGGGAAACAAAGACUCUGGGGCCUUUCUGAGGGUGGAGAGUGGGAGGAGGGAGAGGAUCAAGAAAAACAGCUAAUGGGUACUGAGCUUGAUACCUGGGUGACGAAACAAGCUGCACAGCCACCCCCCACCCCUGCCGACACGAAUUCACCAGCAGAGCAAACGAAACCAAAAAAGGGAAAUGAUUUGAAUAGACAUUUCUCCAACAAAGAUAGACAAUUGCCCAUAAGCACACGAGAAGAUACUCAACCUGACUCACGACUGGGGAACUGCAAACAAACCCACCAUGAAAUACCACUUCACACUCACUAGGAUGGCUAAGAAAGACAGAUAAUACCAAAUGUUGGCAAGGAUGUAGAGAAACUCGAACUCCCCUAUGCUGUUUGUGGGAAUGCAAAAUGGGGAGCCAACUCGGAAAACAGUCUGUUAGCUCCUCGAAAGUUCAGCAUAAAGUAAUGGUAAUUUGACCCAGAAGUUCCACUCCCAGUGGCAUAGGCAACAGAAGUGAAAAGAUGUUCACAAAAUUGUGUUUAUGAAUGAAACACAUGAUGAAAAUCUAAAAAGUGAGAAACACCAAUGCAUCAAUAGAUGAAUGAAUAAAUACAAUGAAGUAGAUCCAUACAGUGGAUUCUUUGUAAAUGAAAGGAAUGGAAUACUGACUCAUGCUAUAACCUUGAAACCCUUAUGCUAAGUGAAAGAAGCCAUCCUCAAAGGACAAUAUAUUGUGUGAUUCUGUUUUAGGAAAUGUCCAGAGCAGGCACAUCUGGAGAGCCAGAAAGUAGUUCCUUGGUUGCCUGGGGUGGCAGUGGGAGGAAAUGGGAGUGAUCGCCAGUGUACUAAUGGGCUUGGGGUUUUUCUUUUUUUUUUUGGAGUGAUACAAAUGUCCCCAAAUUUGUGAUAGUUUCACAACCCUGUGAAUUUACUAAAAGCUGUUCAAUUGUACACUUCAAAUAGAUGAAAUUUAUGGUGUGUGAACUCAAUCUCAAUAUAUUUUCUAAAAGUUAAUAUGCAUAGUAUAUUUAAACUGUAAUAUCCUUCCCUCCCUCCUUCCCUCCUCUUUCCUUCUGUCCCUCCCUCCCUCCUGCUCCCUUCUCCCUCCCUCCUCCCCUCCCUCCCUUCCUUCCUUUCUUCCUUCCUUCCUUCCUCCUUCCAUGCCUAAUUUAUAAGCCUGGGAUAGAAUAUGUUUAGACCCAUGAAAUAAAGCAUAAUUAUAUUGUUAGUUGGGUAAUAAGAAAACAUAGCAA